UGCGGUACUUGUCACAUUUGUCUGAGUUGUCCCCGAACGAAUCGUUCUUGCACUUACUCCAGUGAGAUGCUCGAGCAGUAACGUAAGUAGGUCGUACAGCUGCACUGAAGCGCCUGAAGCAUCGGUCAACAUCAAUAAAGCAAUCGUUGUUCCAAGAAAGCGGACAAUUAUUUAGCAAACAUCCACUCAAGAGUUUCAAGGUUCCGGUGGGUAGCGCUAGGACGCUCUAGGACGCUUUUUCCAGUGAUGCCAGUUUCGUUUGGAUGAUUCAAUCAGAACUACGGAGUGAAUGUGAAGCAAGACAAUAAAAGAAUCUUCACAACAACCGGAUGCCCUGCCCUGUCCUAUUUUAGGCUAACCCAGCAGGAUUUCUUUCGCCUCCCCCAUCUCAUCCCACGGAGCAGGAAUUGCGCUUUUCUUUCCACAUAGCAGGAAGUUUGUAUCGUUCUAGCCUCCUGUGGUUCCUCCACAUUUUAUCCCUGAUGGACAUCGCGCUAUCGGACAUCGUACCGCCCAGCUAGUGACAGUUUAAGCUGCUCAGUACCGCGCCGUGCGGGCCAGAAGCUUUGCCAGACAGGCUGCAAAUUUGUUACACGACCCGGCACUCUCUAAUGGGCCUGGACCACGCAGGGCUGGGCAAUGACUGCCGACUACGAACUCCAGUUGCCAGUUGCGAUGGGCGGGCGGAGGAGCAUUCAUUAAUCAAACAGUGUCCAUUAAUAAACGGGAUUUGCGAUGUGAUGUUGUUUUCCGCCAGUGGGAAUUGGGAGGUUCGCCGUUGUUCCGGAAGAAAAAAGAAAUCUCAUGUCGCUUUUGAGGAGCCUGCCCAUUAAGUGACGUUUUCCUGUGUCUGUAUCUUGUAAUACACUACAAGGCUUCAAGGCGUUUAUCUGCAAAGUAAUGUUUGUUUAAAACACUACUUAAGCCAUUUUAGAAAUGUUCAGGCCCUAUCUCAUGCUUAUAACUAAAAGGUUUAACAAUAUCAAACUGGCAUCAAUAAGCGAUUAUAAAAUCAUCCCCAGGUCCUGCGUGAGCAUAAUGCCGAUGGAUAUGCAAUCGAUGCCGUAGCGGAAGUUUAAACAAACGAUCAAACUAUUAACGAUGUCGAACGGAGCGAAACCAUCUGGCGGAGCAGUAAACUUCAUGGAAAACACAUUAUCCUUCAUCGUAAGCGCCAGUGUUAAAACUUCAUCCUCAGUAAGUAAUCGCUUCGGGUAAACGCUUGCAGGAGCUGCAGUCAGCUAUCUGCUUUGUCGGUUAGCUAUGGGGCUUUCGGGUUUGAAAUGCUUGACUCUCGUAUAAAAUAUUUGUAGAAUAAAAAAUGAAUGAGAAGCAAUAAAUGCUUGUGGAGGAUUUGAAGCGAUGAAAACCAAUAUGGUUUGAGCAUAACUCACAGCUAAUGGGUUUGAAUUCAAUCGAUCCAAAAAUA